rfam:Ictidomys tridecemlineatus contig074583, whole genome shotgun sequence.
UGUGCCAUCGCUGGUGUGCUGACAAUUGCCCUGCCCGUACCUGUCAUUGUGUCCAAU